rnacentral:lncRNA from 10 species
AUGAACGCCCCUCCAGCCUUCGAGUCGUUCUUGCUCUUCGAGGGCGAGAAGAUCACCAUUAACAAGGACACCAAGGUACCCAAGGCCUGCUUAUUCACCAUCAACAAAGAAGACCACACACUGGGAAACAUCAUUAAAUCACGUGCCUGCUUCCCCUUCGCCUUCUGCCGUGAUUGUCAGUUUCCUGAGGCCUCCCCAGCCACGCUUCCUGUACAGCCUGCAGAACUAUGAUCCGCCCACCUUGGCCACCCAAAGUGCUGGGAUUACAGGUGUGAACCACUGCGCCCGGCCAGAAGUUUUUCUUGUGAGUUGAGGUGAACAUCUGAAUCCCCUCGGGGAACUGAGGUAUGUCCCCUUCAGGGAAUGGUCCCUCUUCAUCCAAAAAUGGGGCCCACAGGUGAUAAUCUGUUGGGUUUCCCAGAAUGAAGACAUCUGGCAUAAUUAGAGCGUGAAGGUCAGGCUGACGGGGGCUAGCACCCCGAUCCAGGGGAGAGGUGGUCACAGGUCUCGCUCCACCUGCCCUGAGCCCCAUCUCAUCUUUUUUUUUUUUUUUUUUUUUUGAGGGGGAGUUUCACUCUUGUUGCCCAGGCUGGAAUGCAGUGGUGCGAUCUCGGCUCAUUGCAACCUCUGCCUCCUGGGUUCAAGUGGUUCUCCUGCCUCAGCCUCCUGCGUAGCUGGAGUUACAAGAACAAGCCACCACGUCCAGCUAAUUUUGUAUUUUUAGUAGAGAUGGGGUUUCGCCGUGUUGGCCAGGCUGGUCUCGAACUCCUGACCUCAGGUGAUCCACCCACCUCGGCCUCUCAAAAUGCUGGGAUUACAGGCGUGAGCCACCAUGCCUGGACUUCCAUCUGGUAAUUUUCUGUCUCGAGGAGGAACUACCCUGCCCUGACAGAGGCUGGGGAUGAAGGAGGAAGAGACAGCCGGUCCCCUGGAUAAAGAGGUGAGGGGGUGUGAAGUCUGGGAGCCCCCCUCCCAGGGCCAGGCUACAGGGGGACAGCAGGGCUAUACCAGGAGUGCCACAGAGAUGCAUUUGGGUGUGAUCUAAUCCCCAGUCCUGCCCUGACCUCCUGGGUGCUCUUAGCCAAGCCCUCUUCCCUGUGUGUGCUAGAAAGUGAGGGUCACUCCCUUCCACACAAGGGAGUGAAUUGAGGGUGGGGAUCUGAGCUCUCUGAGCAGCAAAGCUGGACACAGGCCAAAUUGCCAAUCCUGAGUCCCUCUGUCAUGUGGACCUGGGAAGCUUGUCCUCAUCCUCCAUCCUUCCCCAGGGUGGGGCCUGAGAAUCUGAGAACCUUGAGCCUGGGAGGUCAAGGCCACAGUGAGCUAUGAUCGCACCACUGCACUCCAGCCUGGGCGAAAGAGUGAG